rnacentral:rRNA from 1 species
GUGGGGAAUCUUGCGCAAUGGGCGAAAGCCUGACGCAGCCAUGCCGCGUGAAUGAUGAAGGUCUUAGGAUUGUAAAAUUCUUUCACCGGGGACGAUAAUGACGGUACCCGGAGAAGAAGCCCCGGCUAACUUCGUGCCAGCAGCCGCGGUAAUACGAAGGGGGCUAGCGUUGCUCGGAAUUACUGGGCGUAAAGGGAGCGUAGGCGGACAUUUAAGUCAGGGGUGAAAUCCCGGGGCUCAACCUCGGAAUUGCCUUUGAUACUGGGUGUCUUGAGUGUGAGAGAGGUAUGUGGAACUCCGAGUGUAGAGGUGAAAUUCGUAGAUAUUCGGAAGAACACCAGUGGCGAAGGCGACAUACUGGCUCAUUACUGACGCUGAGGCUCGAAAGCGUGGGGAGCAAACAGGAUUAGAAACCCGAGUAGUCC